UUUAAUUCGAAGCAACGCGAAGAACCUUACCUAAGCUGGACAUCCCAAUGACAUCUCCUUAAUCGGAGAGUGCCCUUCGGGGACAUUGGUGACAGGUGGUGCAUGGUUGUCGUCAGCUCGUGUCGUGGGAUGUUGGGUUAAGUCCCGCAACGAGCGCAACCCUUGUCUUUAGUUGCCAUCAUUAAGUUGGGCACUCUAGAGAGACUGCCAGGGAUAACCUGGAGGAAGGUGGGGAUGACGUCAAAUCAUCAUGCC
rnacentral:rRNA from 1 species